ACGAACGCUGGCGGCGUGCUUAACACAUGCAAGUCGAACCGAAAGGCCCUGCUUUUGUGGGGUGCUCGAGUGGCGAACGGGUGAGUAACACGUGAGUAACCUGCCCUUGACUUUGGGAUAACUUCAGGAAACUGGGGCUAAUACCGGAUAGGAGCUCCUGCUGCAUGGUGGGGGUUGGAAAGUUUCGGCGGUUGGGGAUGGACUCGCGGCUUAUCAGCUUGUUGGUGGGGUAGUGGCUUACCGAGGCUUUGACGGGUAGCCGGCCUGAGAGGGUGACCGGCCACAUUGGGACUGAGAUACGGCCCAGACUCCUACGGGAGGCAGCAGUGGGGAAUAUUGCACAAUGGGCGGAAGCCUGAUGCAGCAACGCCGCGUGCGGGAUGACGGCCUUCGGGUUGUAAACCGCUUUCGCCUGUGACGAAGCGUGAGUGACGGUAAUGGGUAAAGAAGCACCGGCUAACUACGUG
rnacentral:rRNA from 1 species